rnacentral:rRNA from 1 species
AUUGAACGCUGGCGGCAGGCCUAACACAUGCAAGUCGAACGAGUGGCGGACGGGUGAGUAAUGUAUGGGAAACUGCCCGAUGGAGGGGGAUAACUGCUGGAAACGGUGGCUAAUACCGCAUACUAUCAGAUGUGCCCAUAUGGGAUUAGCUUGUUGGUGGGGUAACGGCUCACCUAGGCGACGAUCCCUAGCUGGUCUGAGAGGAUGACCAGCAACACGGGAACUGAGACACGGCCCAGACUCCUACGGGAGGCAGCAGUGGGGAAUAUUGCACAAUGGGCGCAAGCCUGAUGCAGCCAUGCCGCGUGUAUGAAGAAGGCCUUCGGGUUGUAAAGUACUUUCAGCGGGGAGGCGUUACCCGCAGAAGAAGCACCGGCUAACUCCGUGCCAGCAGCCGCGGUAAUAC